rnacentral:rRNA from 1 species
UACGUAGGGACCAAGCGUUGUUCGGAUUUACUGGGCGUAAAGGGCGCGUAGGCGGCCUGUUAAGUCGAACGUGAAAUCCCCGGGCUCAACCCGGGAACUGCGUCCGAUACUGGCAGGCUUGAAUCCGGGAGAGGGAUGUGGAAUUCCAGGUGUAGCGGUGAAAUGCGUAGAUAUGUGGAGGAACACCGAUGGCGAAGGCAGCCUCCUGGGCCGACACUGACGCUGAGGGCACGAAAGCGUGGGGAGCAAACAGG